UACGGGAGGCAGCAGUAAGGAAUAUUGCGCAAUGGAGGCAACUCUGACGCAGCCAUGCCGCGUGCAGGAAGAAGGCCUUAUGGGUCGUAAACUGCUUUUAUUAGGGAAUAAACCCUCGCUCGUGAGCGAGGCUGAAGGUACCUAAAGAAUAAGCACCGGCUAACUCCGUGCCAGCAGCCGCGGUAA
rnacentral:rRNA from 1 species